AUUUGUGGCUGCGUUUAGUACUCUAUGUGUAGUUACAUGCCCAGAGAAACAUUUCCAACUUCAAGAAUCGCUGUGCUGCUUGAACUGCCCAGAAGGUAUGUAUGUUGCCCAGAACUGCUCUGGAGGACCCAUGAACUACGUUGGUGUGCUAUGUAAUCCAUGCCGCAGAUGUGAAGGUAUGAAAAAAUUGCUUUCAUUUAUGUUUAAACAACUAAGAUUUGAAAUUGCUCUAAUAACAAUAAAACCUUUUUUUUUUUCAAACUAUAGAACUUGGAGAGAUAACUGUGUCCCAGUGCACGCAGUUUUCAGACACACGGUGUGCCAGGAAACAGAUAACCUCGUAUGGUUCCUCAUCUGUGAUAGCCGCUGUGUUCAUGCUGGCUGUGAUUGUGGCAGCCUGCUUCUUUUGCAGAAUCAGUAAAUCUGGUGAAUCUGAUGAAAGCUCUGCAGGAGAACCAUUCCACAUUUCCGUAUAAAAGAUGCAGAGACAGUCUGAAGAAAAUCUUAACUCAGGAAAAAGGCCAACAUCAAGUAUUGUAUAUUAUCAUUUAGUGAUUCAAUAACAUUAGAAAUACUGCAAUACAAAGCUUUUUUCUUAUAUAUUAAUGUAUUAUUUUAUUCAUUUUCAUUUUAAUUUAAUUUAAUUUUCUUUUUAGAAAAAAAGUUCACAGGACCAAUUCUCACUGCUAACUAACUUUUUAAGUCGAGUCACCUUUAUUUAUAUAGUGCUUUAAACAAUACAGAUUGUGUCAAAGCAGCUUUACAGUGUUAAACAUGAAAAUAGUGUGUCAAUAAUUCAAUCAAACCUCAAUUCUGCUGUAAAGCAGCUUUACAGUAGUAAACAAUAGUAAACUAUUAACUAUUGUGUCUUUUGCCUUUUUAGUUUGUAAGGUAUUUGUUAAGUUUUAGAAUUAAGGGAUCUAAAAUGUGGACAUGCAGAGUGG
rnacentral:lncRNA from 1 species